UGCGACUGAUAAGGCGAAAGGCCAAUAGCAUAGUCCUUAAAUGGGGAGGUCGUUGCUAUACUGUUGAUAAUCUUGUCGAAUUUAACUGGAGAUUGCACAGCUGUUCUGUUAAUUGUCUGGACUUAAAAAUGAAGGCAGUCGUCUUGUUCGUAGCGGUUUGUGCUGUCGCGUGUUCGUACGGCCAGGAGAACUGUGGUCAAGUAUCGGACUGUCGGGAGACCACUGUGUAAGAUCCAAGAUGGUUGGUUCAUCCACUGUGUGAGGGGUUACUGCGUCUGCUCACACAAUACAUUUACCGGAAAGCCGUGCGCGGACGGACAGACAGCCACGUGCGCAGCUAUCCACAACUCAAACUGUACCGACCACGGGCUGCACUGGCACUGCAUAGAUGGGGUUUGUCACUGCGCUAGAAUAUAACGACGGAGUGUAUACCUUGCAGUCCGAUUGCUUAUUCCAAAUCUCACUGGAAUAAAAUUAAUAAUAAUU